ACCAGACUCCUACGGGAGGCAGCAGUGGGGGAUAUUGCACAAUGGGGGGAACCCUGAUGCAGCGACGCCGCGUGGGUGAAGGAGCGUUUCGGCGCGUAAAGCCCUAUCGGCAGGGAAGAAGGAGGACGGUACCUGACUAAGAAGCCCCGGCCAACUACGUGCCAGCAGCCGCGGGAAUACGUAGGGAGCAAGCGUUGUCCGGAAUUACUGGGCGUAAAGGGCGCGUAGGUGGGCGCUUAAGUCAGGUGUGAAAGCUCCGGGCUCAACCUGGAGACUGCACUUGAAACUGGGUGUCUUGAGGGCAGGAGAGGAAAGUGGAAUUCCUAGUGUAGCGGUGAAAUGCGUAGAUAUUAGGAGGAACACCAGUGGCGAAGGCGACUUUCUGGACUGUACCUGACGCUGAGGCGCGAAAGCGUGGGUAGCGAACGGGAUUAGAUACCCCUGUA
rnacentral:rRNA from 1 species